GAUGAACGCUGGCGGCGUGCCUAAUACAUGCAAGUCGAGCGAACAGAUAAGGAGCUUGCUCCUUUGACGUUAGCGGCGGACGGGUGAGUAACACGUGGAUAACCUACCUAUAAGACUGGGAUAAAUUCGGGAAACCGGAGCUAAUACCGGAUAACAUAUUGAACCCCAUGGUUCAAUAGUGAAAGGCGGCUUUGCUGUCACUGAUACAUGGAUCCGCGCCGUAUUAGCUAGUUGGUAAGGUAACGGCUUACCAAGGCAACGAUACGUAGCCGACCUGAGAGGGUGAUCGGCCACACUGGAACUGAGACACGGUCCAGACUCCUACGGGAGGCAGCAGUAGGGAAUCUUGCGCAAUGGGCGAAAGCCUGACGGAGCAACGCCGCGUGAGUGAUGAAGGUCUUCGGAUCGUAAAACUCUGUUAUCAGGGAAGAACAAAUGUGUAAGUAACUGUGCACAUCUUGACGGUACCUGAUCAGAAAGCCACGGCUAACUACGUG
rnacentral:rRNA from 1 species